CACUAUUUGGGUCUCACUUCUCAGUUUCCUCUCUCUUUCCUUCUAUCCUUCUCUCUUUCCCUUCUCCUAUCUGUAGCUACAUACAGGGAGCACCAAUUUGUCGAGAAAAUUACAAAUCAAAAACGGGCCAAUUUGAAUUUUAAACCCUUGGUUAUUCUCUAAGUUAUGUAUUUUAUUCAAUGUUCUAAAGAUGCCAAUACAAAAUUGUGAGGAAGCAUCACUACUCAAAAGUGGGAAAGGAUGUCCUACAUCAUUCAGAAGUGUCCUCCCUUGAAAAAGGAGAGUGUUUAUUGUAUAUUUACUUUGGAGGAUGUCUCUCAUAGUUGGCUUGGCUUGAUUCCGUCGGCAUUCCAUAGUUUGCGGUGAUAUUACUUUCCUUUUGUGCCUAUUUAAGGUCUCUAUUCUUCCUCUUUUACUAUGCAUGUAAUUUUUUUUCAAAGUCAUGAAUAUAUGGUGCUAUUGUUGUUGGUUUAUUAUUUUCUAAUAAGUUUUCUAUUGCGGUAUAUAAUUAAUUUCCCGGAUCAAAUAAAGGUGAAUAACUUUUUUUUUUGGUUAGACGAAGUUGGGGAUGGAAAGAAAACUUGGUGUUAUUACCUGAAUAUAUCCUGGAAUUAUCUAAUUAGUUCGUCACUUGACCGCUCCUUUUUUUGUGUUAUAUUGGAAAUGUUUCCUUAAUGAUUUGAAUUAAAAUAAAAGGAAAAAGAUGCUUGUACACACAUUACAUUUGCUAACUCAUGAAUUGAUUAGUAGCUGAUUCGAUGAAGCUUCCUUUACAUUCUGUAUUCAUUCAAUUUCACUAUUAUAUCACUAAUUUCUUAUUAUUCAGAUGUAAUCUAAGCGUUAUUGCUAGUCAAUGUUGCGGAUGAUGUUAUUUGUUACUAUAAAGGUAGCAUCUUUCAAGUUAAUUUAGAGUCUUAUGCCUUUAUAGUUGAAUAUAUUCCACAAUAGAUUUGUUUAACUGGUUUCUAUUUUCUGAACAAUUAUUCCUUAAUAUGUUUCCUCAAGUUGCUAUAUUUUCUCUCCAAUGUCUUUGCAUUAGCGUUUAAGUAACAAAAAUCACCUAAUGCUUUUUUAGACCAUUGAUGUUAGUGAAGGAACAUAUGCAUGUGAUGCAUUCUUUUUCCAUUGAAAGGAGGAAACUAAAAUAUUCUCAAUUUGUGGUCAAGGUAUAUAGACAUGGUAAAACAUGUCUUGGUAUGAGUUAUAUUUUGGGAAUAGAUUUAACAAAAGAUCUCGAGGACAGAAACAUAUGGGGGAGGGAAAAAGCGAGCGCUAAUAAAGAAAAAAGAAACCAAGGUUGAUCGCAUAUAGUCCUAUAGCUUUGAUCUGUGCCUUACGUUUUCAUCCAUAUUUAUUGAUUUCUUUCUGAAUUAUCUGCAAUGAGCAAAACUUUUGUAAUAUAUUUCUGUCCUAUCCGACGAAAAUAAGUCUUGAUUUAAGUCAUUGAAUAAAGAGAGUGCUAAUUACAUUCUUCGCUAAAUCUCAGUGUGAUCAUUAGUUAGGUUAUUUAAGCGAGUUUUUUUUUUUGAGCAAACAGGAAAUAUAUAUAUUAAAAGCUAAGGAACAUCCAGUACAUAGUUAACAUAGCUUGCAUCACGGAGGAUGCAUUUGUUUCCUAAGCUUGCUAGCAUAUUAGAAGCUUCAUUACAUAGGAGUUUUUCAUGACAAGUUGAUUCAAGUUUGUCACUUUCAACAAAAUAUAGUACAUCAAAAGGUGGUACGACAAAAACUUUUUUUUUGCGGGCUUCACUGCUUUGCUGCUUCCUGCCAAUCCCUGAGGCUUGUUUUCCCUUCCUAGAACUUCUUUGGCUAGUUGGUGAGCAAUCCCAUUCCCCUGCCUGAAAGUGUGUUGGAGAGUAACCCUCUGCUGGUGCAUUAAGGACCUGUAAUCAUUAACAGUUUUGUUAAGUAAUUUAUUACCAUGUUGUAUUGCCUGGAUAGCCUCUGAGCAGUCUGUCUCAAUCUCAAGUGGGAAGAGAUUCCAUUCCUUUGCUGUUCGUAGCCCUUCUCGUAGUGCUUUUAAUUAUGCUGCAAGGGAGCCAUUUUCAUGUGCUAGUUUUGCAAAACCAACCACCCAGUAGCCGGUUGCAUUUCUAAAAACACCCGCUAGACCACAAUUUUUGCCAUUACUAUGAAAACUUGCAUCCACAUUCAAUUUGUACCAUCCCCUAGAGGGUUUGAACCAGUUAAUUUUUAUAAGGGAUUUGGGAGGGUGGAUAAGGGAUUUUUCCGUGAAAAGUUUAAAUUCCAAUGCCUUUAGCAUGAUUUUGGAACCCCUUAAAAAAUUGUUCGUGUUGUUGAUGUUAUUACUGUUUCUAUUAAUCCAGAUAUGCCAGAUAAGGAAAGGAAAGAAGUUUUCCCAGUUAAUGAGGUUGUGUUUUAGAGGAAUAUUGAGAUCUCUUACUUGGAGAAGCCAGUGCUUCCCAUUUUUUACGAUUUGCUGGGUUGCUUGCAGUUCUCUCCAGAGAUUACUGACAACUCUGCAAUCUAGGAAGAUAUGUUCAAUUGACUCUUCAAUAGGGUUUUUGCAGAUGGGACAAUUUGAAUCAAUGUUUAGUCCGAUCUGCGAAAGGUACUUCCUGCAAGGGAUUCGAUUGUGAAGACAUUGCCAUCGGAAGAAUUUAAUUUUAUUAGGGCACUCCAGGUGCCAGAUCCAUUCAAAGUCAUGGUUAGAUCCCUUAGGGGAUUCAAGCAGAGUAUAACAAGAGGCGGUGGUAAAGACUCCUUUGGUGGUGAGGGGCCAAGUAGGAGUGUCAGUGAGAAUGCCUUUUUGGCGGAUUUUUAUUUUGGAGAUGGUAGCUAACAUAUCCGGAGAGGGAGAGAAGGUUAAAGAGUUUAGGUUCCACAUAGUUCCAUCAAAGAUAUCUCUAAUUUUAUAGAGAGAUCCUUGGCUGAAGGGGGGCCUGUAAAUAGGUUCCUUAGGCGACCAAUAUUUGGUAUCCAAUUGUCCCCCCAUAAGUUAAGGUUGGAGUGGAUAUGAGUGGACCAUGUGAUGCCUUUGGAACAGAUUUUCCACCCUCUGCGAAUGCUUUUCCAGAGGAAGGAUGUUCUAUUUGCAGAGGGGCUAUUGCAAUAGUAAGAGAUGAUUAGCUUUGCCCAAGGAAUUAAGGUAUUAGUAAGGAGUCUCCAGCUUAAGCUGGCCAGGGUACAAAGGUUUUUAUUGAGAGAAUUAUGGAUCCCCAGUCAGCCAUAUUUUUUGGGUUGGCAUAUAGUGGACCAGUUUACUAAGUGAAGUUUCCUUUUUUCAAUUGUACUACCCCAAAUGAAAUCCCUUUGGACUUUAUCAAUCUUUUUAAGGGUUUUAGUAGGGAGCAGGGUGUAUUGCAUAUAAUGGUUUGGGAUGUUGUUAAGGCAUGAUGAUGCAAGGGUUGUUCUUCCUGCCAAGCUAAAAAACCUCAUCUUCCAGGAUGCAAGUUUGGUUCUCAUUUUGUCUAUGAGGAAUUGGUAAUCUCUAGGUUUUGGGAUGUGAUGAAGGAUGGGGAAACCUAGAUAUGUGCCAAAGUUGUUACUCUUUUUAAUACCAAGAGAAGUGGUAAUGUUGGUAAUGAUUGAUUGAUUACAAUUUUUUGAAAAAAGGAUUUUUGAUUUAGUCAGAUUGAUGUUUUGACCAGAUAGAGAGCAAAAUAUGUCAAGCCCAUUUUUUAUGGCCUGACAGGAUUUAGUAUUUGCUCUAGCCAUGAGAGAAAGGUCGUCAGCAAAUAAUAGAUGGGAUAUCUUUGGGCAUUUAUAUCCUAGGGAAAUGGGGUCCCAGUUUUUGAUAUCUACUUGGUAUUCUAUAUAUCUGGUGAGCAUUUCUAGACAGAGGAUAAAGAUAUAGGGGAGAUGGG